GCGGCCGUUCGUCCCCGCGCGGUCCCCAUCCGGGGCUGGCCGCCGGGAGAGCUCCCCACCCGGUGACUGCCCUCCGCCCCGCCCGCCGCCCCUCACGGCGGGGUCUGCGUGAGUUCCUCACCUGGGGGCGGCCUGCAGGUAAAGUGCAGCAAUGGCUGCUGUUUAUUCUGGCAUUUCUCUAAAACUUAAAAGCAAGACAACUUCCUGGGAAGAUAAACUAAAACUAGCUCACUUUGCUUGGAUUUCCCAUCAGUGUGUUCUUCCAAAUAAAGAACAAGUAUUACUUGAUUGGGCACGACAGUCAUUGGUUGCGUUUUAUAAGAAAAAACUUGAACUGAAGGAAGACAUUGUUGAAAGGCUUUGGAUCUAUAUGGAUAACAUUCUACAUAGCAGAAAAUUGCAGAAUCUCCUCAAGAAUGGAAAGACAAUUAACCUUCAGAUUUCCCUCAUCAAGAUCAUCAAUGAGAGAAUGGCCGAGUUCGCUCUCUUGGGAUCUCAGAGGAGCAUCUGUGUUGUGCUGAGCUGCUGCCAGGGUAUCCUCUCGACGCCCGCCCUUGCUGUCAUGUACACGGCCAGGCAGGAGCUGACGGUCGACCUGCUGAGCCAGCUGUGCUGGUUGGCCUGUAGGCAGCCGGGAGCCGUGAUGCCCCAGUUGUUCGAGGUUCUUCACCUGACCCUCGGCCUUUACCUCUCGAUUCAGCGGCAGCAGGUCAACCCGAGACGCACCUUUGGGGAGGUGACCACACACUUGCUCCAGCCCUGCCUGGUCCUGAGACACUUACUCUCGGCAGGCACGUGGACCCAGGCUGGCCAGGGCCAGCUGCGGCCGGCACUAGGCCGGGACAUUAGGAGUCAGAUUGAGGCCGUGCUUCGAGGCGGAGCUUUUCAGGCCGAGCUGCUCCCUUCCUACAAAGAGGAGCUCUUGGACCAGCAGCAAGGUGACACGAAGAUGGGGGCCAUGAAGAAUCUCCUAGCGCCCCUGGGCACCGUGAUGGCCGGGCUGGUGGAUCCUGGCUACUGUGAACCGUCCCUUCAGGCUGCUGUGGUGGCCAACUCCGUGGCCUUGCUGUACAAGCUCUUUGUAGAUUCUUACCUCACGGAGGGCAACCGGCUGCUCUGCUUCAAGGUGCUCCCUCGGCUGUUUGGUUGCUUAAGGAUUUCCCACCUGCAGGAGGAGCAGUUGCAAGCCCUGCCUGCGUCUGAUUGGACCACGGAACUCCUGGCCUUGGAACAGCUGCUAAAUUCAGUGGCCAGUAGUACUAUCUACAACAUUGCCACUGACCGGAUUCGGCACGGGGAGACUCAGUUCCACUUCUACCGCCAUCUGGCCGAGAUGCUGCUGAACCAUCCGCAGGCCCCCGUGCCAGCCUGGUUCCGCUGCCUCAAGGUUUUGCUCUCUCUGAAUCACUUGAUUCUGGAGCCUGACCUGGAUGACCUGUUGUCUUCAGCUUGGAUCGAUGCAGAAGUCACAGAGUCGCGGACCCAGAAAGCCCAGGAGGCGCUGAUCCACACGCUCUUCCAGACGUUCGCCAAGCUCCGGCAGGUGCCCCGGCUGUUCAGGGAGGUGCUGGGGGUGAUCUGUCGCCCCGCGGCCGAGGCGCUCAGGCUGCCCGUGCUGUCCGCAGGCCCCGCUGCUGUGCUCCGCGAGUGCCUCCCGGAUCUGCCCCCGAGCCAGGUCCUGGACGCCUGGGCCCUCAUGCUGGAGAGGUUCCAGUCCCUGGUCCUGCCUGAUUUGCGGGGUGACAUGGACAUGGCCCUGAAGUCCGUGUCCCUGAGCUCGCUGCUGCACUGCGUCAUGGUCCACGCGCGGAGCCUGGAUGGCGACUCGCCCCUGCCCGUGGUCAGGCGCACGCGGCGCACCAUGGACGAGACGCUGCGGGGCCUCGUGCGGCCCCUGCUGGACCUCCUCCGCCAGCCCCGGCCCUUGGUGCCCGAGCCCUGGCGACAGAGGGUCGGUGACUCUGCGCUCCUGCUCGCCCACACCUGGGCCCAGGUGGACACUGUGCUGGGCUUGAGCUGCGGCCCGUACCGCUCUGAGCCCGGGGCCCUCGCAGGCACCGCCCCGGAGCCCUCGGGCCUCCCCCCGCUGCUCCCGGGUCUGGAGGCCAAGCACUGGAAGGAGAUAGAGGCGUUUACGGCUCAGUCCGACUCCCUCGGCAGGUACUGCUUGGAGCAGCUCCACCUGCAGAGAAUGAAAAACACCUUGCUGCAAACUGGCGUCCAGUCUGAAGAAGCCCUCCUCGCUCUGAGGCGCGAUGCUGCCUACAUCCUGGGCUCCGGGAGAGCGAGCCUGACCCGGGGGACGACGGCCUCCUGGGACGGCCAGGUGGGGACAGUGAGUGCGCUCACCUACCCCGUCGCCCACUGGCACUCAGUCGUGUCCCAUCUCACGAUUUUAACACCCUAUCUUUGUCCGGACGACCUGCGGUACCUGGCCGGUGUCCUGCUGAGAACUUUGCCAACGAGCAAAGCCCAGGAGGGCUCAGCGGAGGAGGAGCCAGACAUCACACUUGAAAACAUAUCGAAGGCCGUCCUCCACAGCCCUCUCUUCCCCGAAAUGCAGUCCCUCCACUCUGCGUUCUUACUGUGCGUGACCGCAAGCUGCGCCGGCAUCCUGUGUGCCGGCGCCCGGAGGGGCCCUGCUCUUCUCCGCCAGCAGCUGCCCUGGCUUUUUGAAGGGGAUUACGUGGCCGUGGCUCACUGGGAAAGCAGAUUUCCAAAGGUCGGAUCUGAAGGCGUAGAGCCAAGAGGAGAAAUCGCCCAGAGCUUACUCUCCUUGGCCAGGGGUGACUCCGCCGUUGAGCUGGAGGGGGAGCAGCUGGAGGGCGUUCUUCGGCUUUUGGAGGUUCUUUCUGCUCUGCAGCUGGACAGCCUCCUGCCCCCCUGUCACGUGCAUUGUUUUCUCCUGUUGCUGACCGUGGCCGUCGCUACGCUGGGCAGCUCUUGCCCCUCCUCGCUGACCCUCAGGUGUUUGAUGACGUGCUACCGGCUCCUCGGUCACCUGCAGAGAGGGAAGAGCGCCCAGUCGGCGCUCAGGGUCAUGUACGUUAGCGACAUCUUUGAGAUCACGCUGACCUCCUUGUUCAGAGCCAGUAGGAGGUUUCUUGUGGACGUGGAUGACCCCUCUUGGCUGGAAUUCCUCCAGGUGGUGGAGACCUUCUUAGAACAGCCGCUGCGAACGCUGCUCCAGAGGAAGCUCAGCCCGGGGCUCAAUUUCGGGAAAAUCCUCGCAUUCCUCUCGAGGUCCCACCUGCGCCCUGAAGCAACUUCAGGCAGACGGUCGGAAGAUCAGACACCUCUGGGCCAGCAGCUCCUUCUGGUGUCUUUAACCAAGCUGUGCCAAGUGCUGGGGCCUUUAGUCAAGGCGCAGAAGCAGCACGAGGCCCUGGAAGCGCCGCGCGAGCUGUUGCAGGCGGCCGUGCUGCAGGCGGGGGCCGUGCUCCAGCUCUGCGCCGCCCGCGGGGCCCGGGACCGCCGCCUCCCGCCCCCCGUCCUCUCGUCGGUCGCCUCGCUCUUGGAGGCCGAUUUGGCCCUGUGCUCCGGGCACAGCGGGACAGAGGUUCCCGGAGGGACAGACCACGUGCUGCUGUCCCAUGCCGCCCUCUACCAGGCUGUCUACUCUCAGAUCCUGUCGGAGUUGCCGGCUCUAGCAGGAGACACCCCAUCUCUCCAGGCAGCCGUGCAGUUUUUGACUCUGUUCUUUUUAGCCCCAGAACUGCACCCCCAGAAGGAGUCUGUGUUUACCUCCGUGUUUCAAUCUGUGAGAAAAGUCCUUGCAGAUCCUGCGAUUCCGGUUCAGGUAGUUGAGGAGAUUGAGCCUCAUUUGGGAGCCUUGUUCACCCAAAUGUUGGAGGUUGGGACGACAGAGGACUUCCAGAUGGCGCUGCAGUGUGUCCUCCAGGGACUGGACGUCAGUAACGUGUGGAGAGCAGAUCUGCAGGCUGUUUUGUCGGCUGUGACGUUGGUCAAGUUGCUCUUGAACUGCCCAUCUGGUGGCGAGAAGGCCAGUUUGUUCUGGCGUGCGUGCCCACAGGUGGUCACGGCUCUAAUGCUGCAGACCCGAGAGGCUUGUCGGGAACAGCCCAUGGCGCUGGCACUGGUCGGGCCCAUCUUGGACGUCCUGGCUGCGCUGCUGAGGCAGGGGGAGGAGACCAUCAGCAACCCACACCACGUUGGCCUGGCCUUCGGUGUCCUGCUGGCCGUGCCCUUGGAUGCCCUGAGGCCUCCCGAGUAUGAGCGCAUCUUCCUGCGGGUCCACAACGUGCUCUUCUCAAUCCUGCAGUGUCACCCGAAGGUAAUGCUGAAAGCCAUCCCUUCUUUCUUGAACUGUUUUCAUAGAUUGGUGUGUUCAGUUAUACGCGAAGGGCGGCAGAAAGACAAAGGAGGCGCAGAGGACCUGCCGGUGGUGCUGGAGUGCGCCCGCCUCGUGGAAAGGAUGUACAGCCACGUGGCACUGCGGGCCGAGGAGUUCAGGGUGUUUUCCCCCUUCAUGGUGGCCCAGUAUGUGAUGGAGGCGCAGAAGUUUAAUUACAGGCUAGAUGGCAAGUGUUUCAGCAGCGGGCGGCGUAGGUGAAGGUCUUUCGGUGGUUGGGGCCGAUGACGGUGAGACGGCCUCGGGCAGGAGGGGCAGCUGCUCCUACAGACCUUGUUCCUUCCAUGCAGAGAUGUGUCAUCCUGGAGACGUGUCAGGGAAGUUACGGUCACUUUUAUCUUCUCUUUUACCCGUAGGUCAGAUUUACAACUGUCCCUCUAUAUCAAUAGCUUAGAGUAAAUAGUUUGCACUACUCCCCUGGCCUAAGGUCCUUUUAGGUUAACUUAGAGAUGUUUCCAUUCGUUGGCCAAUGACCGUAACGUUGUAGAAAUUAACUUUUUUCCCGUUUUCCAAAUAAGCUGUCUAACGUAAAGAUGCGAAGGGGCUGUGCUGUCCUGAUACUACCGGCCUUGCUGUCCCAUUCCCCACUCCCCGUGCUCCGGGCUGUACUUCACAAGGAGACACACCAGCUGAAGGGCUGUGACAUCUGGACUCACAUGCCCCGUUCAGAUCUCAGUGCUGCCACUGGGGAAAUUACUGCGCCUCUUUUUGCCUUUAGAAGCGGGAUUAUUUGUUUAGUGAGUGGUGAUUCAGUGAAUGAAUGAGCAAGCCCUCACCCAGCUAGUGAGGUUAAGGACUUCUUCUGUUUUCAGUUUGUCUGUUUUAUUUUUUCUUUCCCUCCCUAAUACCUUAGUAUGGAAUCACAGACAAGCCAUUCCUCCUGUGGUCCUUGAAUGUUCUUAUCAUCUAUAAAACAGUAAAAUUUAAUUAAGAAGCUGCAUGUCUGCAGAGAGGCAUGAACUCCUAGGCCAUCAGGACACUAAUGAAGAACUGGCCACUCCCCAGGCCUGUCAGCCGGAACCUUGCUGCUGCUUUCUGGCUGCAGCUGCUGCGGUGGGCAGACGCUGCCCUGCCCAGGUCCGGCUGAAGCCUGGGCGGCUCUGGCAGGGUCACCUUGUAUCCGGCGGUGAAAGGCCUCCUGCAGGAGGGCAUCUACCUCAUCCUGGACCUGUGCAUCGAGCCCGACAUCCAGUUCCUGCGGGCCUCGCUGCAGCCGGGGGUGCGAGACGUCUUUAAGGAGCUG